UUCGACCUCAAAUCAGGUAGGACUACCCGCUGAACUUAAGCAUAUCAAUAAGGCGGGGAGGAAAAG
rnacentral:rRNA from 1 species